AUGUCUGGACCUCUCCUGUUGCAAGUAACACGUGCUAUCUUUAUUAUCUUGUCAUACUUGAUGAUUUUUCACACUAUGUGUGGACCUUUGCGGCGAAAGUCGGACUCUGUUGCCACUCUCACCGCCUUCUACUCCUAUGUCUCCACGCAGUUUGGACGUCCCAUUCAUGCGUUGCAAACAGACAACGGGAAGGAGUUCGAUAACCUUGCGAUCCGCAACCUUCUCGCCACACACGGCACGAUCUUUCGUCUCACUUGCCCGUACACUUCGCAACAAAACGGCCGCGCUGAGCGCGUGCUACGCACUCUCAAUGACUGUGUUUGCACCCUCCUCUUUCACGCCAACGUGCCACCAUGUUUUUGGCCCGACGCGCUUGCCACCGCAUCACUACUCAUUAACAUUCGUCCCUGUCGCACUCGCGGGAAUUUCGCACCUCAUCACCUCUUGUUUGGCACGCCACCCUCCUAUGCUGAGCUCCGCAUCUUCGGUUGCCUGUGCUACCCCAGCAUCGCUUCCACCACUCCUCAUAAGCUCGCACCUAGGUCUGUGGCCUGCAUCUUUCUCGGCUAUCCUCCUAACACCAAAGGCUACCGCUGCUAUGAUCCUAUCUCUCAUCGGGUGAUCACUUCACGACACGUUUACUUUGAUGAGAUGGUUUUUCCGUUCCAGCAGGUACCUUCGGAUGAUGCGGCCUUGCCCGCUUCCGGUGAUGGCCGCCCACGUGCCUCUCUUGGGCCGCCUCCCGGCUUUGAGGGUGCCCCCCGCGCCACGGGUCGAGUCUCUCCCCGUUUGGUUGCCCUAGGGGCUGCACCUCCUUCGACGCCUGCGACGCCCCCGGCGUCCCCGGCCUCGACCCUGCCGGUGGCCUCGUCCGCCGCCAUGCCGGCUGCCUCCGCCACGCCGGUGGCCUCGUCCGCCGCCACGCAGGCGGCCUCGCCCGCCGCAUCACCGGCAGCCUCACCCGCCGCCUCGCGGAGGCCUCGCCCGCGGCGGUCACAUCGGGGGCGGGCUCGUCUUCGUCCUCGCCCGCCUCCCCUCCGGACCCGCUGCCCCGCCCGAUGA
rnacentral:rRNA from 1 species